AUUCAGUUCUGGGGAUACCAACUUCGUCGAGAAAAAAUAUUUUAAAAUCUAAAGAAUGGUUGGAACCUUUAACUUUAACUCAUUUAGCUGACAUACAUGAGAAAAUAUGUCUCAUGGCAUCGAAAGUACUUACUGAAGACGAAGAUUUGACAUCAUUUAAACUUAA